UACAGAGGUCUCAAGCGUUGUUCGGAUUCAUUGGGCGUAAAGGGUGCGUAGGUGGCGCCGUAAGUCAGGUGUGAAAUUUCGAGGCUUAACCUCGAAACUGCAUUUGAUACUGCGUUGCUUGAGGCCGGGAGAGGUGAGUGGAAUUCCCAGUGUAGCGGUGAAAUGCGUAGAUAUUGGGAGGAACACCAGUGGCGAAGGCGGCUCGCUGGACCGGUUCUGACGCUGAGGCGCGAAAGCGUGGGGAGCAAACAGG
rnacentral:rRNA from 1 species